GUGCAGCUUUGAAGUCUCUUUGAAUGGCAUUUCCAUUGAGUGAGAACUGCACCCUUCUUCUCGCCACAUCAAGCAGAAGUCCAAGCACAUCGCCUGAGUGGACAGAUAGCAGAAUGUUCAUGACUUUGUUAAAGUGGGUGCUAUUAUGGGCUUGUGCAUGUGUGAGUGUCGCUUCACUGACCUGCCUUCCAAGGUUUGUGGCUAUGCGGCGUGCUUUUAGCGUUGUGCCAGAUGAGCUGCCGACAUCCAUCAUAAGCACACGAGUAUUCAUCGUCACCGAUACCAUAGCCAUCCUGAAAAACAAGAUAAAGUCACACAAUACCAUAGCCAUCCUGACAAACAAGAUAAAGUUACACAAUACCAUA